rnacentral:lncRNA from 1 species
UGUGAUUUUUAUACCAUAUCAGCUUCUGGAGACAUCUGUCGCACAGGGGACCUGGACACUGCCCCCUCUGCCUGUAUUCUCCUUCUCAAGGUUCCUGUAGCCGCUGAGGAAGCUCACCCCCAUACCGAUCAGGUAUGAAUCCCCAGUGGAGGAGCAGAUCUCUUCCAACAGUGGCGCAGUCAGGAGACUUUUCUUUCAGGACUCGUCCUGUGUCUCCGGUGAGUCUCUAUCACUAACUGUUACACCUGCAGAUACCAACUUAUUAUAGCAUAAUAUA